rnacentral:rRNA from 2 species
UGGGGAAUCUUCCGCAAUGGGCGAAAGCCUGACGGAGCAACGCCGCGUGAAUGAUGAAGGCCUUCGGGUUGUAAAAUUCUGUCUUCAGGGAAGAAACAAAUGACGGUACCUGAGGAGGAAGCCCCGGCUAACUACGUGCCAGCAGCCGCGGUAAAACGUAGGGGGCGAGCGUUGUCCGGAAUUACUGGGCGUAAAGGGCGCGUAGGCGGUUUCUUAAGUCUCAAGGUGAAAACUAUCGGCUUAACCGGUAGCGUGCCUGAGAAACUGGGAGACUUGAGUGCAGGAGAGGGGAGUGGAAUUCCCAGUGUAGCGGUGAAAUGCGUAGAUAUUGGGAGGAACACCAGUGGCGAAGGCGGCUCUCUGGCCUGUAACUGACGCUGAGGCGCGAAAGCGUGGGGAGCGAACGGG